GAUGAACGCUGGCGGCGUGCCUAAAACAUGCAAGUCGAGCGAACGGACGAGAAGCUUGCUUCUCUGAUGUUAGCGGCGGACGGGUGAGUAACACGUGGAUAACCUACCUAUAAGACUGGGAUAACUUCGGGAAACCGGAGCUAAUACCGGAUGAUAUUUUGAACCGCAUGGUUCAAAAGUGAAAGACGGUCUUGCUGUCACUUAUAGAUGGAUCCGCGCUGCAUUAGCUAGUUGGUAAGGUAACGGCUUACCAAGGCAACGAUGCAUAGCCGACCUGAGAGGGUGAUCGGCCACACUGGAACUGAGACACGGUCCAGACUCCUACGGGAGGCAGCAGUAGGGAAUCUUCCGCAAUGGGCGAAAGCCUGACGGAGCAACGCCGCGUGAGUGAUGAAGGUCUUCGGAUCGUAAAACUCUGUUAUUAGGGAAGAACAUAUGUGUAAGUAACUGUGCACAUCUUGACGGUACCUAAUCAGAAAGCCACGGCUAACUACGUG
rnacentral:rRNA from 1 species